rnacentral:rRNA from 1 species
AUUAUUUUAAGCUAUAUAUUAGGAGUAAAUAAAAUUUAUGAAAUUAAAAAAUUUUGGCGGUAUUUUAAGCUUAUUAGAGGAAUUUGCUCUGUGAUGGACACAACGCCUUAAUCUUACUUAAUUUAGUAAUUUAAAUCAGUUUGUAUACCACUAUAUUAAUUAUAUUGAAUAGUUAUAUUUAAAAUUUUUUUAAAAAAAUAUAUUAAGUCAAGGUGCAUCUAAUAAUUAUGAAUGAAGUGAAUUACAUUAAUUUUAAUGUAAUUUUUAACAAUGAAAAAAUUAAUUAGGAUUUAAUAGUAAAAUACUAAUAUUAUGAGUAUUUGAAUCAAGCUCUAAAAUAUGCAC